rnacentral:lncRNA from 1 species
UUAUUAGUUCCCAAAAUAAAUUAUUAUAUACUCAAUAGCACCAAGCUAUUGGUGCUAUUAGUUUUUUAGUUAUUGGAUUGAAAAAUGUGCGGUUAGAAUGAUGUGGGUCCUCUAGGAUUGAGUGAGUGGUUGGUUGAAUAGUAUAAUCUAACGGAUAAAAAAAAUCAAAGAAUUAAAUUUAACGGUGGAAAACUCGAUAGCAUCAAACCCUUGUUGCUAUCGAUAGUAUCCCAGCCAGACUCUCAGCCAGCGGUCCAGGAUGUUAAGCCC